rnacentral:rRNA from 1 species
CGGCAGCACGGGAGUAAUCCUGGUGGCGAGUGGCGAACGGGUGAGUAAUACAUCGGAACGUGUCCUGUAGUGGGGGAUAGCCCGGCGAAAGCCGGAUUAAUACCGCAUACGCUCUACGGAGGAAAGGGGGGGAUCUUAGGACCUCCCGCUACAGGGGCGGCCGAUGGCAGAUUAGCUAGUUGGUGGGGUAAAGGCCUACCAAGGCGACGAUCUGUAGCUGGUCUGAGAGGACGACCAGCCACACUGGGACUGAGACACGGCCCAGACUCCUACGGGAGGCAGCAGUGGGGAAUUUUGGACAAUGGGGGAAACCCUGAUCCAGCAAUGCCGCGUGUGUGAAGAAGGCCUUCGGGUUGUAAAGCACUUUUGUCCGGAAAGAAAACCACCUGGUUAAUACCUGGGUGGGAUGACGGUACCGGAAGAAUAAGCACCGGCUAACUACGUGCCAGCAGCCGCGGUAAUACGUAGGGUGCAAGCGUUAAUCGGAAUUACUGGGCGUAAAGCGUGCGCAGGCGGUCCGCUAAGACAGAUGUGAAAUCCCCGGGCUUAACCUGGGAACUGCAUUUGUGACUGGCGGGCUAGAGUAUGGCAGAGGGGGGUAGAAUUCCACGUGUAGCAGUGAAAUGCGUAGAGAUGUGGAGGAAUACCGAUGGCGAAGGCAGCCCCCUGGGCCAAUACUGACGCUCAUGCACGAAAGCGUGGGGAGCAAACAGGAUUAGAUACCCUGGUAGUCCACGCCCUAAACGAUGUCAACUAGUUGUUGGGUCUUCAUUGACUUAGUAACGUAGCUAACGCGUGAAGUUGACCGCCUGGGGAGUACGGUCGCAAGAUUAAAACUCAAAGGAAUUGACGGGGACCCGCACAAGCGGUGGAUGAUGUGGAUUAAUUCGAUGCAACGCGAAAAACCUUACCUACCCUUGACAUGUAUGGAACCUGGCUGAGAGGUCGGGGUGCCCGAAAGGGAGCCAUAACACAGGUGCUGCAUGGCUGUCGUCAGCUCGUGUCGUGAGA